AAAAAACAACAACAGCCUGCACUAUCUUUUCAGCCUUUGCUUGAAAAUAUUGGACUACAAAGGUGCUAGCUCAGAAAAGUUCCUUUCUUCAAGUUAUUUAACAGGAUGAAGGAAAAGGAAAGCUGUUGUUAGAAGCUGCAGCAACUAGCAAUCUGUGCUGAAAAUGACCAGCAGAGCACUCCAGGAGAUUCCAGAUGUUGGAGCAGACUUCUGGGAUUCUUAAUGACCACUGCCUCAAGAUAUCUGCAAUGGAUACUGUUCUAACUUUGUGGCUUUUAUGAACAUCACUGAAAAGGCUGGGCAAGACGAAACCUGUGAAGAAGGAAGAUCUCCAUGGCUGCCCUUAGCGUGGAAUGUGUUCUUCACACCCUUACAAACAGCUUUCAAGUAUUCAGCCUGUGGAGUUGAAGCAGGUACUGUUUGAUCUGAGCUGAUCUGUUUCGGGGGUAUGUGUACUUAUGUUGUUCUGCCGACCCUGAAUGCAAGAACACCUGCUCUGAUGUGUGCAUCGUUUGUAGCAGGCAUUGUCCUUUAAUAUCUGAGACAUGUAGCAAAGCAUCAUCUCAUAUCAGGAUGUGUCUCUGGGUCUUUGUGAAUGUCUACACUUGGUUCAGCCAAGAGGUUUAUUUGGAAAGUGUCAACAUGAGCUUUGUUUUUGGCAAUUUGUUGGUUGGCCUUUCAAAAUUC
rnacentral:lncRNA from 1 species